AACGGAUAUCUCGGCUCUCGCCACGAUGAAGAAUGUAGCGAAAUGCGAUACUUAGUGUGAAUUGCAGAAUCCCGUGAAUCAUCAAGUCUUUGAACGCAAGUUGCGCCCGAGGCCUCGGCCAAGGGCACGCCUGCUUGGGCGUCGC
rnacentral:rRNA from 3 species